UGGGGAAUAUUGCACAAUGGGGGAAACCCUGAUGCAGCGACGCCGCGUGAACGAAGAAGGUAUUCGUAUCGUAAAGUUCUGUCCUAUGGGAAGAUAAUGACAGUACCAUAGAAGAAAGCUCCGGCUAAAUACGUGCCAGCGGCCGCGGUAAUACGUAUGGAGCGAGCGUUGUCCGGAAUUAUUGGGCGUAAAGGGUACGCAGGCGGUUUAAUAAGUCGAAUGUUAAAGAUCGGGGCUCAACCCCGUAAAGCAUUGGAAACUGAUAAACUUGAGUAGUGGAGAGGAAAGUGGAAUUCCUAGUGUAGUGGUGAAAUACGUAGAUAUUAGGAGGAAUACCAGUAGCGAAGGCGACUUUCUGGACACAAACUGACGCUGAGGUACGAAAGCGUGGGGAGCAAACAGG
rnacentral:rRNA from 1 species